CAUUUUUAGCACUUGGGAGACAUUACACAUGUUAUUGAUGUAUAAAUUUAGAACCCAACACUGACCCCAGGGUAUGAUGUCCAUACACGAGGAGCAACAAUCUAAUUUCACAACCUGUCAAACUGUCCAUUUUAAACAUUGACAAAGAUUUCCAUCUAUCACAGUAUCAAGCUUUUCCUCAGUCUUCUCAGGAGAAGUUAUUUUUCUUGCCACAUGUGGUCCAAAAGUUAUAAAAAACUGAUUAAAGCUGAUAGCCAUGCCACCCAUAUUAUAUUCAUCAUGAUUAUUGUUAAUGAAUCACUCAGUUGUUUUGUUCAGUAUUGCCCAGGUUACCCUGUUUUGGUCAUUUCUUUACAGUUUUGAUCACAUUGACUUGCACUGUAUAUGGCCUGCAAAAAUCUACCAGUUUAUAAAAAAAAAAUUUUAAAAGGGGGGGGGGGGGGGGCAAAUAAACAACUUUAACCAACUUUGAGAGUUUAAAGGCACUUUAUUUCUUCCAUCGUCACUUGGCCAACCCUUAAAAGUCUUUGUGGAAAAAGUGGAAAAACUGUAUAAAGUCUGAUAAAUGAUAAAUAGGUCUAAAUGAUUCAAUUUAAGCUGCAUUGUGGUGGAAUAAAACCUUAACAUGUGAAUGAACAGAAAAAAUAAAUACUCUGCACCACGUGGGUCAAAACAAAUAAAAACAGGGUGCAAAAAGGGACCCCCCCCCCUCCAAAAAAAAAAAAAAAACCAAAAUCAAAAAAACAAAACAUGACAUCAACUGUCCUCUGCAUCUUUAAGACACGCACAUAGAGAUCUUGCCGUGUACUGGCAAUUUUAGCAGAAUACUGUUGGAAAGUUUUUGUGGAAACCCUGAAGCCAUGGAAAAUCCUGAGACUUGUCUGUAAAAAUAACUAACUCCACUGUUUAUUCAUUCUUUUGCUGCUUUUUGGCAAUAAAAUUGCAGUAUCAAAGUGCAGUGCCUGUCUGAUGCUUUACUGCCCAAUGUGUUUACAUCAGGAGAGGGGAGGAGCGGAGGAGAAAGUAGCAUCGGCCAAAGUGCACCGAAGAGAGUUUAUUUUGGCAAUCAUACAGGAAUAGAACCAAGCUGGAAAUUACACGAACGACAUAAUGAAAAAAAACAACAAAAAAAACAAAAAAAACAAAAGGACACACGCACCGAUAAAUUACUUAAGACAUUUUUAAUAAUAGUUCAGUGUAACAAACGACAACUGGGUGCAUUGUUAUAUAGCCAUACAGAAAUCUCUGGGGAAAAAAUUACAUUAAAAUAAUCGUUUAAAAUUUACAUAGAAAACAAUAUCUUAAAAAAAAAAAAAAAAAAGAAAAGAAGAAAAAAAAGAAAAAGGACUUGUUGAGAAAAGGAAAAAACUCAAAUUUGCAAAAAUAUUCCAGUGACAUCAUUUACCUCCUCUAGUUUUCCCUUGCUCCUCACUUCAAAAACAUUUGUUUUUCAGGGUGCAUUACACACAAUCAAUCUACAGGUGUGCACUUGAAGUCAUAGGCAAAAUAUUGCAGACAUUAAAACAGCAACAGUGUCAACCAUUUAAAUACAGCUACGACAUAUUUGUGCUUGAGAUGAGGCGCAACAAAAUAUUUGUUAUUCUCAGUGUUAUUUGAUAAAAAAAUGAUGCACCAUCACUGGAAGCGCUCCAGUGCGUCAUCUUAUUUCCUUUUGUGUUUAAUUAUCAUUUUGUCCAAAGACGGCACAUUCUUAUAGGAAGAUUGAAUAACGAUACUGGUGAUGUCAUGAAGUUUUGGAGCUAAAAGGAUUUUUCUCAGUCAUCACUGCCAUGAAGCACUGACCUUGAACCAGCAGGUUUAUUCAAGAGUGUGCGAGGUGUGCCAGCGGUUUGUACAUCCUGAGACUGACUAGGUAUCACGUCUGGGGAGCGCGCUACAAUAAUGUGCUUGCAUAGUAAUAAAUAUUGCAUGGAGCAGCUUGCAUCAUCUCACCAGAUUCCUGUCAAAUAGUACACCACAACAUCAUGGCAACAUGUAUGCUGAUGGCUGAAAACAAAUAGAAACGCAGCUAGACAUUCAAAAACUACUGCUGCAGUUCAGUGGGCGGGAAACAAGCGUGCACGCAUGCACGCACACGUAUAUCUCAGCAGUUUUUGGGCAGUUUUCCAGUAUGCUUUAUCUUCAGCAGAAAGACCAAAACGCUGUUCAUGAAACCUAACAUUUAUGACAGCAUGGUCGGUACCAUACAGUAAUUACAGAUGGCAGUACAUACAAACGUACAAGCACAAACACACAUGUAGGAAACUGACUAAAUAUAGGCAGCUACUUCACACAGACUUUUUCAUAUACAAACACAGAGGCAUGUGAACUGCUCAGGCUGGGUGUGCAUGGAAACACCCUCUGAAAAAGCAAUAUUUGUUUUGGUUGGACUCUGUGGAAGAACAUUUUUGCUGUCGACUAUCUUGCCUUAGAUUUUGUGUGAAUAAUCAUGUUCAUGUUUCAUAUAAAUGAUAUGGGCACAUAUGGUAACAGACAAGUUUAUAUAAUUAAUCCCUCCCUUUAAGCACACGGACACCUGUGCGCUAUGCCCUUUCUCGCUAAAGAACAUGCUGAAAUAUAAACCCAGGUGAUAACUGCUGUUGAUGAGGUGUCAGGCAGGACCAGUGCAAACUGUGACCGUAUUAAACACAGAAGUGAAAUGAUAAGACUGGAUUUCUAUCAGUUGGCACUUUGAAUAAUACAGUAAAAUGAUUACAAGCAGUAACAUACGGAAUAACAAAUAAUUACAAAGAAAAUUGUUUCAUCUCUUUAAAAACAGAAAACAUCAACAAAAAACAAACAGCAAAGUGGUCUUGGCUGGAACAUCCUGACAAGAUGAUGCAGGAUGUGCCAAAAUCCACACAUUCUCAGUCUAAAUCUGGGAAUAACCAAAAAAAGAAGGGGAAGAAAGAUAAAAGAAACAAAGUGGAUCCUCCUGAGUAAGUCUUUGGAAUGGCUAAAGAUGUCCUUUGAGUGACAGGUGAACCGAGUGAUGUAGAAAUAAAGAGAAACAGAAAAAAAAACAAAAAAAAACAAAAAAAACAACAUGAACACCUUAUGUGCAUGUGAUGGAAAAAGCAAUUCAAUCUUUAUGACAGUGUCAGAGUUCUCAAGGCUGGUGAAGACCAUGCAGAGGUUGAAACUGAGGUGAGAGCCCCGCCCUUAAGUUCUGCAUCUCUCUGUCGUCUCAAAAAACAAUGUUAUUUUAAAAGACUGUCCUUUUAAGACAUUUAUGGAAAAGAAAGCAGGCCUUUAUUCAGUAAACUAAUAGCAGAUGAUUAUUGCCCCCUGGAAUGCCUAAGAAAGAUAAAUCUGACUUUAGAUAGACUGGCUGUAUAGGUUAAAAAAAAAAAAAAUCAAAACUAAACAAAGAAAAAAAGAAAAACAAACUUCUACCUGGGUACCUAAUUAGACCGAGAAGUCGCAGACUCAAGCAAGUCCUCUAAUGACUCUGCUUCUUCUAGUUUUGGCUCCACUUUAUCAUCUGACUUUAACUUUUUUGCAGAAGGUUUACCCAAUGAAGGCUUAUCUUCCUGCAUCAGCUCUUUGGCCAGAAUGUUGGUCACCACAUUUCCAGCUCGUCGGUGGUUGGCUGACAAGAACAAAGAAACAAAGACAACGCAACAAAGUCAGACAUCAUUUUUAAUCAUACCAAACCCAUAAGAAACAUCAGCGCAUGCCAUGAGGUGACAUAUCAAAUAAAUACUAUGAUGAAAUCUGCAACCAUUCUGCAAUUCAAAUAUAAUGGUUUAAUUAGUUAACAAACCAGCCACUAAGAUGCAAACGCAUUCACAAGUAUGUACCUAUAAUAAAACACACACACACACACACACACACACACACACACGGACGAGUAUUGGGGCUGUGCAUGUAUGUGGAUUAGCGUCAUAUUUGGAGCAACUCACUUCUAAUGUCAGAUUACGCACAACGUGGUCUUAAGCAGUGAAAAAACUGGAGAAAGUGUAGAAAUGCAUGGAGGAAGGAAAAGCGGGAUGAUAAAAUGCAGAAAUGGAGAAUGUGUGUGUAAAAUGAGGAGGGGAGAGUAAAAAGGGGUAAGACACCAUGAAAAGCGGGAUGAUUCAUACUGUGGGAAGAUUAAAGAGACAGGGAUGAAUGAAAAUGAGACAGAAGAAGGAACUGAGUCAGAUGAGGAAAAGCUGCAAGGGGAGGACUUGAAGUGACACAAAUAGGAAGUUAUGUAUAUAUUAUUUAUAUACAUGAGGAAUACUGGAAGCAGAGAGAAGAGAUUAGAUACACAUGGACAGACAGAGAAACAGAACAAGCGUGACAGAUCGUGCCCUGAGGAUGCUUUCGUUUUUAUUCUUCUACCUGCUUACCGUCUUUUCCUUUCCUCCCACACAGGCACCAGCAGCAGCCUGGCUUUCUCUCAUUCCCUCAAUCUAUCCUUUAGCACUCCUCACUCUCAUGUGUGGGAGGACAGCUGUGCAGCAGCAGCCAUUUUGAAUUAUAUAGGUCAGUGGGAGAUUGUGUUUGCUGUUAUUUUAUGCUUGAUGUUUAUUCAGAAACUCCAAUCCUCAAAAAACAUCAGUAAAUCCACACGUGAAUGUCGAGGAGAAAAAAAAAUGCAGAUUAAUCCAGCACACCAACAGACACACACAUGCAAAUUAAUCAUGGUAGCACAUACAACAUAUCGAGACUUGUUGUAUGGUUCUCACAGGAGUAGAACAAAAAGCACCACAAAAAACACACACAAAGUUACCAAGCAGGUCUCCAGAACUAGUUGUGACAAAGACACAAUUGAGUCUGGGGAGAAAGAGGAGAAGGAGUAUUUGUAGAUUUAGGCUUGUCUUCUUUGUGAGUCUCAGCUGGUCUGAGCAGCACACAGACAGCUAGUAUAUCAAAUUAUCACCUUACACCCUUUCCUAUGAGAGAUUACUCCCCUGUCAUAAACACCGGUACAUGGGUGCACUUUAUCUUCUCCUCAGUGUACUUUCAUACUUCCUCCGUCUCUAUUUUUGUCCCUCACUUAUAAACUUACUAAUUAGAAAUUAUGCAAAUGAUCCAGAAACUGUGUCUGUGUGUGUGUGUGUGUGUGUGUGUGUGUGUGUGUGUGUGUGUGUGUGUGUGUGUGAGAGAGAGUAUGUGUCCUGUGCUGAGCUUGUCCUAAAAAUUCCAGCCUACAGAGAAAAGCCUCUUCAAAGGCUGUCAGACCUAGCUCCUUGCCUCUCUCAUCCUCCUCCACUUCCCUCUUGAGAGAGAAAACAGAAGAGGAGGUGAGAAGAGGUGAUACAAGUCAGGAUGAGAAGGUUGUUACAUUGGAAGCAGGAUGAGAAAAUAUGAAUGUAGACAGAAACCUACUGAUUGAAGUAUGGAGAAGAAACUCUGAAGGUAACUACAUUUAAACAUAGUUAACAUGUGUGAACUAAUAUGUGUAAGAAGUGAAUACAUGAACAGACUGAAGUUUUAAAAAGAACAUCAAAGUAUUUUUUAAAUAUAACAUAAACACAAGUAAUAAAGGCUGGCAAUCUACAUGAUAUAUUGAAAUGUUUUCAAUUAUAACCCACACCUAAUGAGUUUAGUGGGUAUCCCUUUCUUCCCACUGAACACUGCUUAGAAGAACUUCUGAUGCCACUCUGGUUUUACCCACAGCCAAAAGAAAAUCAACACAAUUAUAUAGAUUUUUUUUUCUCAACCAGAUUUCCAUGAUGGAUGUUUUUCUUUAUGAAAUGGUCCAAUAUGGCAUAACAUGCAAAUAUUUCUGCCACAUAAAGUAAUAAAGAUGUAUAAAGCAAAAACAACAGAUACAUCUCGACACAGAUUUGCAUAUUUAGGCAAAGUGAAAAGAUCUUACUGUUUAAAGCUUUCAGAUCCAAACUACACAAAGAUAUAUUCAAUUCUCCCUGACCAAUCACAUUCAACAAAUGAAAAGCAAACAACUGAUUUCAUGUGUAAAGAUUAAUAUUGUGAAAACAGCUGUUAGAUAUCUCAUAGAUCACUGGAAGGAGCUGUUUCA
ensembl:lncRNA